UUAGGAAUUUUGCACAAUGGGGGAAACCCUGAUGCAGCAACGCCGCGUGGACGAAGAAGGCCUUCGGGUCGUAAAGUCCUUUUCAACGGGAAGAUACGGACGGUACCGUUGGAAUAAGCAUCGGCUAACUACGUGCCAGCAGCCGCGGUAAUACGUAGGAUGCAAGCGUUAUCCGGAUUUACUGGGCGUAAAGAGCGCGUAGGUGGUUUCGUAAGUUGGGCGUGAAGGCCCCCGGCUUAACUGGGGAGGGUCGUUCAAAACUACGAGACUUGAGGGUGGAAGAGGAGAUUGGAAUUCCCGGUGUAGUGGUGAAAUGCGUAGAUAUCGGGAGGAACACCUGUGGUGAAGACGAAUCUCUGGGCCACUCCUGACACUAAGGCGCGAAAGCGUGGGGAGCGAACGG
rnacentral:rRNA from 1 species